rnacentral:rRNA from 1 species
CAGCGAAGCCGCGAGGCGGAGCAAAUCUCCAAAAAAUGUCUCAGUUCAGAUUGCAGGCUGCAACUCGCCUGCAUGAAGUCGGAAUUGCUAGUAAUCGUAGGUCAGCAUACUACGGUGAAUACGUUCCCGGGCCUUGUACACACCGCCCGUCAAACCAUGAGAGUUGGCAACACCCGAAGUCGGUAGUCUAACCGCAAGGAGGACGCCGCCGAAGGUGGGGUCGAUGAUUAGGGUUAAGUCGUAACAAGGUACC